rnacentral:rRNA from 1 species
GUGGGGAAUUUUGGACAAUGGGCGCAAGCCUGAUCCAGCAAUGCCGCGUGCAGGAAGAAGGCCUUCGGGUUGUAAACUGCUUUUGUACGGAACGAAACGGUCCUGGUUAAUACCUGGGGCUAAUGACGGUACCGUAAGAAUAAGCACCGGCUAACUACGUGCCAGCAGCCGCGGUAAUACGUAGGGUGCGAGCGUUAAUCGGAAUUACUGGGCGUAAAGCGUGCGCAGGCGGUGCUGUAAGACAGGCGUGAAAUCCCCGGGCUCAACCGGGGAAUUGCGCUUGUGACUGCAGUGCUGGAGUACGGCAGAGGGGGAUGGAAUUCCGCGUGUAGCAGUGAAAUGCGUAGAUAUGCGGAGGAACACCGAUGGCGAAGGCAGUCCCCUGGGCCUGUACUGACGCUCAUGCACGAAAGCGUGGGGAGCAAACAGGAUUAGAAACCCGGGUAGUCC